rnacentral:rRNA from 1 species
UACGAAGGGGGCUAGCGUUGCUCGGAAUCACUGGGCGUAAAGCGCACGUAGGCGGAUUGUUAAGUCAGGGGUGAAAUCCUGGAGCUCAACUCCAGAACUGCCUUUGAUACUGGCGAUCUCGAGUCCGGGAGAGGUGAAUGGAACUGCGAGUGUAGAGGUGAAAUUCGUAGAUAUUCGCAAGAACACCAGUGGCGAAAGGCGGCUCACUGGCCCGGUACUGACGCUGAGGUGCGAAAGCGUGGGGAGCAAACAGG